rnacentral:rRNA from 1 species
AGAGUUUGAUCCUGGCUCAGGAUGAACGCUGGCGGCGUGCUUAACACAUGCAAGUCGAACGGGAAUUACUUUAUUGAAACUUCGGUCGAUUUAAUUUAAUUCUAGUGGCGGACGGGUGAGUAACGCGUGGGUAACCUGCCUUAUACAGGGGGAUAACAGUCAGAAAUGGCUGCUAAUACCGCAUAAGCGCACAGAGCUGCAUGGCUCGGUGUGAAAAACUCCGGUGGUAUAAGAUGGACCCGCGUUGGAUUAGCUUGUUGGUGGGGUAACGGCCCACCAAGGCGACGAUCCAUAGCCGGCCUGAGAGGGUGAACGGCCACAUUGGGACUGAGACACGGCCCAGACUCCUACGGGAGGCAGCAGUGGGGAAUAUUGCACAAUGGGGGAAACCCUGAUGCAGCGACGCCGCGUGAAGGAAGAAGUAUCUCGGUAUGUAAACUUCUAUCAGCAGGGAAGAUAGUGACGGUACCUGACUAAGAAGCCCCGGCUAACUACGUGCCAGCAGCCGCGGUAAUACGUAGGGGGCAAGCGUUAUCCGGAUUUACUGGGUGUAAAGGGAGCGUAGACGGUGUGGCAAGUCUGAUGUGAAAGGCAUGGGCUCAACCUGUGGACUGCAUUGGAAACUGUCAUACUUGAGUGCCGGAGGGGUAAGCGGAAUUCCUAGUGUAGCGGUGAAAUGCGUAGAUAUCGGGUGGAACACCGGUGGCGAAGGCGGCCCUCUGGGCCGAGACCGACGCUGAGGCGCGAAAGCUGGGGGAGCGAACAGGAUUAGAUACCCUGGUAGUCCCAGCCGUAAACGAUAAACGCUAGGUGUGGGGGGACGAUCCCCCCGUGCCGCAGCCAACGCAUUAAGCGUCCCGCGUGGGGAGUACGGCCGCAAGGGCUAAAACUCAAAGGAAUUGACGGGGGCCCGCACAAGCAGCGGAGCAUGUGGCUUAAUUCGAAGCAACGCGAAGAACCUUACCAGGGCUUGACAUAUGGGUGAAGCGGGGGAGACCCCGUGGCCGAGAGGAGCCCAUACAGGUGGUGCAUGGCUGUCGUCAGCUCGUGUCGUGAGAUGUUGGGUUAAGUCCCGCAACGAGCGCAACCCCCGCCGCGUGUUGCCAUCGGGUGAUGCCGGGAACCCACGCGGGACCGCCGCCGUCAAGGCGGAGGAGGGCGGGGACGACGUCAAGUCAUCAUGCCCCUUAUGCCCUGGGCUGCACACGUGCUACAAUGGCCGGUACAGAGGGAUGCCACCCCGCGAGGGGGAGCGGAUCCCGGAAAGCCGGCCCCAGUUCGGAUAGGGGGCUG